rnacentral:misc_RNA from 1 species
AAGUCGUAACAAGGUAUCCGUAGGUGAACCUGCGGAUGGAUCAUUAACGUUCUUAUAAAUUCAAAUAAUGUAAUGAGCGAUGACCUCGCGUCGCGCUUCAUUAUAUCACCCUUGUGGUUUAUAGGACAUUUAUUGUAUAAUGUGUGUUAUUGUGUACGGUGAGCAGCAGUUGUUGUUGUUGUCGUUGUUGUCGUCUGACGAUGAUGAUGAUGAUGAUGGCACAGCGCGCGCACACGGUGUGCAGGCACACAUUGUUCAGUAGACCCAAUUAUAUAAAACACUUGAUAUCUUUAAUUCAAAAGACUAAAGUAACCUUGUGAAUCAAAACUAUGCAUGCGUAUACUAGGAUAUAUGUUUGUAUGUUUUAUAUUACCAAGUAAAACAACAAUAAUAUCUAUACAACUGCUAGCAACGGAUCACUCGGCUCUC